CGCGCCCCGCGACUCCAAACGCACGUCCCCGAGUGAUGAGACCCCCACAGGCCCCCAGCCCCUCCGGCUCCGGCAUCCCACGCGGACGCCCUGGACUUGGGGAAGGUGACGCUCCGAAGCUUGCUUGCUGACAGCGGCCUGCCCGUCACCGGGUGGAGAAGCCAGGCCUCAGGCAGGUAAGGUGGAAAGGGACUGCCCAGCAGGGCCGAAGGGCUGCGGACUGGAGGUCACCGAAUGAUAGGCGGCGAUCGGGAGGGGGAGGGGCCAAGAGCAAGGAUCCUUCCCUAAUUGGCACCCCUGCACUUCUGGGCCAGGCGGAGGCCUGCCUGCAGGGCUUUCACCUGAGGAAGCUCUGAGGGUUAUAGUCAAGCGUGAAGAUGAACCCACAGUCAUGCCAAGUCUCCAAGAAAAGGGUCCCAAAGGUGUUUGGACUACUAGAGCCCAGAGAGAGCCGGAAUGUUCCACAUUUAUGAACAGAGCAGGAAGAGUGGGGGACAUCUCUAACAUCUUAGAGUCACACGUGCCACCAUCAGCCCCAUUCACAAUGAGGAAACUGAGGCAUAGUGGGGACAGCCAGUGGCCAAACAUCUGAUCCUCCCCUUGCUUAGUGAUCUUGCCUCCUGGCGUUUAUACUGGAGUGUAGUGCCCUCCCACACUGAAAGAGGCCAGUGGUGUAACCAACAGAACACAGUGGAAUGACCUCCAAGCCCCGGUCAUAGGAGGCACUGCAGCUUCUGCCUGGCUCUCCCAGAUCACCAGCCACCAUGUUGUGAGGACACCCAAGCAGCUCUGUGGAGAGGCCCACAUCAGGAGGAACUGAGGCCUCACACUAGCAACCAACACCAACGCGUAGGGCACGUGUGUGAGUAAUUUUGCAAGCAGAUCCUCCAGCCCCAUUAAGCCUCAGAAAGUGCUGACCCAACCAAUAGCUAUACCACAGUGUCAAGAGAGACCCCGGGCCUGAACCACCCAGCCAAGCUGCUCCCAGCUGUGAGGUAACAAGUGUGUGAGAUGAUGGUUUAUUGUUGUUUUCAGUCACUCAGUUUUUUGGUGAUUUUUUUAAUACAGCAAUAGAUAACUAACACACACUGUCCCUCAAACAAUGACACACAUCUCUUUCAAACCAAAGUCAACACCCAGUUGGGCGGGGCAACUUGAGUCGGAAGUUGUCUAGGUACACUGCGAAUAAUCACACCAACAGCCUUUACACACACAAACAUCGAGCUGCAUGACAGAGUGGAAGACAAGAAUCCAUAAAUAAUAGCUGUGGCAAAAGACCUAGAAAGAAACUUAACAAGAAACAGGCAGAGACAACUCUGAAGUGCUCCUGAGAGACACAAAAGAACACUAUAAAAAACAGAUGAAAUACCACGUUCUUGGGUAGGGAGACUUAACAACACAUAAACUUACCCAUGACCUUAAUGCACUCCUGACAACAAUACUAAGAAAAUGGGGUGGGGGGGCAGAUAGCCUAAUUUUAAAGUUCAUAUAGAAAAGCAUAGCAAACAAUUAAGAAUGGGCAGGAAGUUAAAAAUAAUAAUAAUGGAUACUCAUCCUACCAAAUAUUAAAACACAUUGUAAAGCUACUAAAAUGAGAAGAGCGUGGUCUGGGGCACAAGGGUAGUCAGGUCAACGGACAGAAUGGACAGUCCAGAAAUAGGUGGAAGCACACACAGGAGUUUGGUGGAUAAUGGAAGGUGGCAUUCCAGACUACAGAGAAAGUUGGAUUACUCAACAAUUCUCAUGACAACCAUUGGGUAGCACCUUGAAGCAAAAUGGUGGGGAGGGAGAAUCCUUACCCAACACCUUAAACCAGAAUGCAAGAGCAGAUGGAUCAAAGAUUUAAACAGAAAGAAAUGAAAAGAUACUAGAAGCAAAGAAGGUAGUUUUUUGUUUUUGUUUUGUUAAGUAUUGCUGGAGCUGGGGAAGGCUUUUCCCAGUGAAACCCAGCCCUAGGAGCAGGGCUGUGCAGAGCCAGCUUGUAUGUGGAGCCAACAAGUGCAUCUUCUCCUGCUCUCAGUUCCAUAACUUGAAAGUAGCCACGGUGGGAAUAUUUACACCACGGAAAUCAACAUACGCUGGGAAUUGGGCCCCUUUUUUCCUCCAGAGAGCCAGUUGUUAAACAUUUACCAUCACAGUGCUGCCUACAAAAGAUGAAAGAUUGAUAAAUUCAACCAUGCAAAAAUAACAGCUUUUGUAUAAGAAGCAAAACAAAACCUGCAUCAAUAGAGUCAAAAGCCAAGUACAAACUGUGAAAAAAAAAAAUGAGUAACUCAUAUCACGUCUAAAGGUCUAAUUUCUUUAAUAUAUAUAUUAAAAAAAAAAAAAAAAAAGCCACAGAGAGGCUGAGGCCCCACUCCGGGUUGGAGGGGACUAAGGAGACGUGAGGACCACAUACAGCGUGGGCUCCUGGCUGCACGUGUUAUGUCAUUGUGCAAGUUUAUGCAAUAAGACCCAUCGGACAAAAUGUAAACAAAAGUAUAAGGAGUGUUUGUACUAUUUUUGUAACUUUUGUGUAAGUUCAUUUGAAAUAUCAAAAUGAAAAAGUGAACAGUGUUUCUGCCCCUCACACCCUCAGCUCAGUCUUGCCCCACAAGCCUGCACCUCCUCGAAGGUUUCCAAAGUCCCCAGGGGAUACGGCACCCCCCACAGACCUUGCCCUCUGCCCCUCCGCCACUGGCUGGAAAGGCCCCAAACACCCCCCCACCCCACUGUCACUGCUGUACUCAGAGGUCCCCAGAGCCCGGAAAAGAGGACAGACCUCAGUUCACCGGUGAGGGUGGGUCUCAUCCUCUUAGCUGGCCUAGCAGCCUUUGAUAAUACCUCAAAUGAGCACUAGGGACCUCCUUACCCCAGCCAGGUCACACCCUGCCCCAGAGAGAAGAGGUGGGGUCUAUGAGUGGGAGGGGAUCCCAAGUAUCAUCAGCAUCCCAGCUGAUGGGGAGGCAGCGAUGAGGACUCCUUGGAACUGUCCAUCCCCAUGGGGGUUGGGGGAAAAUUCGUGAAGAAGGGACCCAGGGAAGGGGGAAUCUGACCUUGCUCUGGGAGGCUCUGCACCGCCCCCCCCCCGCCCCUGCGCCGUCUCCUAGCCGCCAUCGCCCUGUGCCGUUCCCUGAGCAUGUCUGUGCGGAGUCUUACCACUACCCAUGCCCCUCCUACAACCACCACCUCUGUCCUCAGACUCUCUGGAUCCUGCCUGGAGCCCUCAGACCAGGCCCUGAGCUAGACACCACCUGGUCCUGUGUGGCUGAUAGAAAUGAUGGUGGUGAAGAUCAAAGUGACAAACGGCCACCUGCACCCCUCAGUCAACCGAGGUCCCCUGGGGGGGUGACAAGUCAGUGCCCACUGCCUCCUCUGUGGCUCUGUCACUCUGUCAAUGGGGAUUGUGGGUAGAUCCAGAUAGGUGGAGGGCCGCACUCAGGCUAGAAGGGCAGGAAGCCUCAGCUUCUGACGCCAGAAGCUCAAGUCCACGCUCCUGACCACUGGACCUCAUGUGCAGCCCACCUGUCGUGCCUAGGGUAUGCCCACCCCCUCCCCAGGCCCAAUUCCCCUUCACCCUGGACCCCUCCACCCACACCAGCUGACACCCUGCUGCUAUAAACGGUAGUGGCUGAGGUAAUAAGAACAUUCAUGACUGACAUUUUCUCCAUGGCAGGCACUGGGGCUGGGUGGGGAGAUGCCAGAAGCUUCCUGCCUCACAAAACAUGUAGAAUGCUGGAAGAACAUAACUGCAAGUGUCAGAGUGGACAGAGGGGGCGACAAAGAGUCCAGACCCAUACUAUCUGGUCAGCUGGUGUUCUAAAGAGGACACCAAGGCAGGGAGAGGACAGUCUUUUCAGGAAAUGGUGAUAGAACAACUGAAUAAACGUAUGGGGACAGGCGUAAGUCACAACCGCUACCUCACACCACACAAAAAUUCAUUCAAGAUAGAUUGUCCAAACAUAGAAGCCAAAGCUGUAAAGCUUCUAGAAGAAAACAUAGAAUGUCAUCACAAUGUUGGAGUAAGCAAAUAUUUCUUAGGACAUUAAAAAAUUAUUAACUAGAUUUGUAAAUACUUAAAAUGUCUGCUCUUCAUAAGACACCAGUGAGAAAAUGAAAAGGCAGCUAUCGGCUGAGAGAAAAUAUUCAAAAUACACACAUCUGAGGAAGAACUUGUAUCCAGAUUAUUAAAAAAAAAAAAAAAAAACUCUUAAAACUCAAUCAUAAAAAACCUAGUUUUUAAAAAAUGAGCACAAUAUUUUAACAGACAUGUCACGUAAGAAGAUAUACAAAUGGCCAACAGCACAUGAAAAGGUGCUCAGGACAUUAGCCAUUGGGAAAAUGCAAAUCAAAACUCACCGACUCACCGAGGCACAAGAUAGCACUUCUCCCCCACUAGGAUGGCUAUUAUAAAAAAAAAAAAAGAGAGAGAGGGAGAGAGAAAACAAGUGCUGACGAGGAUGUGGAGAAGCUGGAACCCUCACCCACUGCUGGUGGGAUGUAAAUCGGUACAGCCGCUGUGGAAAAGUUUGGCAGUUCCUCAAAAACUUAAACAUAGAAUUAAUUACCUUGUUGUCAAUUGCCCUCAAGUUGACUCUGACUCGUGGUGACCCCAUGUGUGUGAAGCGUCAGAGUUUUCAAGGCUGUGACCUUUCAGAAGCAGAUCACCAGACCUAUCUUCUGAGGAACUUCUGGAUGGGUUUGAACUACCAACCUUCCAGCUAAUAGUUGAGCACUUAACCAUUUGUGCCCCCCAGGGACUCCCAGAAUUACCAUAUAAGCCAGCAGUUCUACUCCUGGGUAUACACCUGUCUUAGUCAUCUAGUGCUGCUAUGGCAGAAAUGCCACAAGUGGACGGCUUUAACAAAAUUUAUUCUCUCAAGUCUAAUAGGCUAGAAGUCCUAAUUCAGGGCGUCUGCUCCAGGAGAGGCUUUCUCUCUGCCGGCUCUGGAGGAAGGUCCUUGUCAUCAAUCUUCCUCUGGUCAAGGAACUUCUCAGCACAGGAACCUCGGGUCCAAAGGACACACUCUGCUCCCAGAGUUGCCUUCUUGGUGGUAUGAGGUCCCCUGUCUUUCUGCUCACUUCUCUCUUUUAUAUCUCAAAAGAGAUUGGAUUAAGACACUAUCUAAUCUUGUAGAUCUCAUCAAUAUAACUGCUGCUAAUCCAUCGCAGUGACAGGAUUUACAACACAUAGAAAAAUUUCAUCAAAUGAUGAAAUUAUAAUCAUACAACACUGGGAAUCAUGAAGAAGCCAAACUGACAGGUAUUUUUGGGGAACAAAAUUCAAUCCAUAACAGUACCCAAAAGAUUUGAAAGCAGGGACUCAAACAGACAGUUGUGCACCCAUGUUCAACGAAGCACUAUUCACAACGGCCAAAAGGUGGAAACAAUUCAAGAGCCCAUCAACAGAGGAACAGAUAAACAAGAUGUGGUAUAUACAUACAAUGGUGUGCUAUUCAGCCAUAAUAAGAAAUGAAGUGCUGAUACGUGCUGUAAUAUGGACGAACCUUGAAAAUUUUACGCUGAGUGUAAUAAGUCCAACACAAAGGACAAAUAUCAUAUGAUCCCACUUAGAUGAAAUCAUUAGAAUAGGCGAAUGUACAGAGAUCAAAGUUUUCUUAGUGGUUACCAGGGGCAAGGGGGAAUAGGGAGUUACUGCUUUAAGGGGUACUAAGUUUCUGUUUGGGGCGAUUAAACAGUUUUGGAAAUAGCUAGAGGUGAUGGUUGUACAACAUGAUGAAUGUAAUUAAUGUCACUGAAUUGUACACUUAAAAAUAGUUAAAAUGGCAACUUUUAUAUAUUUUACCACGAUAAAUUUAAAAAAUGAAAUAGAACGGCUGAAUUUAAGGCUGACCAUACCAAUUGCUGGCAAGGAUGUGGAGCAACCAGUGCUCUCACACAUCAUUGCUGGCAGCACAAUAUCGUGCCACCACUUUGGAAAACAAUUCGGUCAUUUCUGAUAAAAAAAAAAAAAAUGUGCACUCACCAUACACCACAGCAAUUCCACUCCUAGGUAGCUGCCCAGGAGACAGGAAAGCACACGUCCACACAGAGACUUGUACCUGGACUAGCACAGCAGCUUUAUUCAUAGUACCCCCAAGCUAGAAACAACUCAGAGGUCCACCAUCAGGUGCCUUGGUAAACACGUUGUGGCAUAUUCAUGUAACGACAUACUCUUCAGGAAACAAACAAACAACCAAACCACCACCACAACUGGUAUAUACAAGAGCAUAGAUAAAUCAUAAAACAUCAUGUGGAGUGAAAGAAGCCAGACACAAAAGAAAAUUUAACGUAUGAUUCCAUACAUUAAAUACAUGAAGUCCAAGAACAGACACAAACGUUAUAGAAAUCAGGGCUGACUGGAAAUCACUAUAAGCACAUUUUACCUCAAUGCAUAAAUUUUAGCGAAAUAAAUGUGUGUCUGUGUGUGUGAAGCAUGUUUAUACAAAUGUGUUCACUGCGUUGCAGAGCUCAGACACAAACGAGACCCUUCACCAGAUGUCACAAUGAAGAAGGAACACCUGGGGAGUGGCCAGGACACAGCAGGGAUGACCUCAUCUGGGAGACUCGAAGUCUGGGGCUGGAGUCACCCAAAAACUCCUCAAUCCCACAUCUGGCACCUGGGCCGGGAAGACUCCAAGGGCUGGAUCGGAACUAUGGGGGCUCCUUGAGCAUCUGUCUCUAUCACUGUGUGAUCUGUCCAGCAUGGUAGCUCAGGCUCCAGAGGAGCAAGCUGUGAGAGACAGAGACAAAGAGAUGGAGAGAGUGAGAGACAGAGACACAGAGACAGAGACGACCAAUCAGGAAGCUGUAUCACCUUUUCCUAAUCUAGCCUCAGAAGGCAUGCAGCACCACUCUGCCACAUUCUAUUCAUUAUGAGUGAGUCACCAAGGCCAGCUCAGAUUCAAGGGGAGUGCCACAGAAUCUGCAGACAUGUUUCAAAGCCACUGCACAGUAGAAGACAGUCAAGAGGUUGUUCGCACUGCAGGAGAAACAAAGGGAACAAAAAAAGGCAGAGUCUAACCUAGAAGAAAACACAACUCGAGAAAAUUCCUCACCAAUACUUCAGUCUAUCAAAGAACUUAAUAAGAAACAUGAAUCUGAAUAAAUCAGUAAUUACAAUAAACAUAAAUGGACUGUAUCCAAUUAAAAGGCUGAGAAUCAGAGAUUGGAUUUUUUUUUACAGAAAUAAUACUUUUUUUUUGGUGAAGGUAUACACAGCAGUUUAGGUUCCCGUUUAGCAAUUUCUACAUAAAUUGUCCAGUGACUCUGGUUACAUUCUUUACAACGCAUAAACAUUCUCGUUAUUUCCAUUCUGGUUGUUCCAUUUCCAUUAACCUAUUUUCAUUGCCCGCUUACAUUUCAUCUUUGUUUGAACGUAGUAGUUGACCAUUUGAUCUCACAUACAUGAUUUUUUUUUUAGCAGUUAUUUUAUUGUGUUUUCGGCAAAGGUUUACACAGCAGUUUAGGUUCCCGUUUAACAAUUUCUACAGAAAUUGUUCAGUGACAUUGGUUACAUUCAAAGAUUGGAUUUUAAAAGGAGGAAGCUAAUACACCUAUUUGCUACUUGCAAGAGAAACACCAAAAUACAAAGACACAAUAUGGUUAAAAAUAAAAAAAAAAAAAAAAAGGGAAAACAAAA